AUGGACUCCAAUAAUCUACUGGUCAUAAUGAUUUCAGAAGAAUCCAGAGUAAAUCAAAUAUAACAUUUUAUUUGUCAAGUAAAAAUGUAUCAUGCCAAUUACAUUACAGUUAGACAAUUAGAAGCCAAUUCAGAAAUAAUAAAUGCAUAACAUAAAUUACUCAAAGAAAUGCAUGUACACACAGUAAUGUGUGAAUGUCUUCAGACAUUCACCCAUCUCUGCACGGGGGCUUCUGGCUACAGAUGAUCCCGCAUGACUGCUUUGCACUUUACCUUAUAUACAGACUAGAACAAAAGGGUUGUAAAUAUUUAUUACACCAAUACCUGUUUUGGGGGAGAGGAGUGGGUUUUUCAACACCCAAAAGGAGAACAGAAUUAUCCUUAGUUUUCAAUCUUUUUCAUAAUACCAGUGACUGCUGUGAAAUUGAGACCAUUUUACCAAUCGCACUGAGACAUUUAAAAUGAUACCAAACAUGAAAGGAAUAAACAAUAGAUACACCAGAUACAUUAUACUUCUUGGAGAACUUUCAGUGACUUGAGUCAGGGAGCCUUCACCGGAAUAUUGAGUAACCAUCAUUCAGACUACAUUUCCCAUAGGCCCUCAUUCCUGGGACUGAUUGCACUCACACCUGCACCACAUCACACUCACACUAUUUAAGCAGCAUGCGCACACGCGCGCGCACACACACAGAGCGAAGUCUUGAUUUGCCCUGGUAAUCAUUUCUAAGCAGUUUCUGUGGAUCGUUAUACUGUUGCCGUUUGGACUGUUUACCUCUUGUGAUUCUCUGCUGCCUGCCCUGAUCUCUGCCUGCUUCCUGAUACCGUCUGUCUUCCGCCUGCCUCGACCAUUGCCUGUUCCUGUUUACAUCUCUGCCUCUGCCCUUACCUGAAGCGAUUCUUCUGACAGCUGACGCCUACAGUACCUGAGAAUUUUGUCAGACAAGCACAUGAUCAAAAACACCACAAAGGCUGUUGGCACUCCCAAACCUACUUCAACAACAAAAGUGAAACACAACACAACCAAAAAAGGAACCUGCAUCAGCAGAUCAGUCUUCAGCUGCUACACACAGGAGACAGACGUACAGAUCUUUCUUAUUACUUCAGGAGUGCAGGAUAAAAAAGAAGCAAGAAGCAUGGAUUGCAAAAAGUCUCCAACAGAAGGAGGGCAGGCUUUACUUCCACUGCAGGAGGAUCCUCCAGAGUACUCCAGUCAUGGAUUCCCUCCCUCUGAGAUCUAUCCCAGCA